rnacentral:rRNA from 1 species
UACGAGGGGGGCGAGCGUUGUUCGGAAUUAUUGGGCGUAAAGGGCGCGUAGGCGGUCUUGUAAGUCUCGUGUGAAAUCCCUCGGCUUAACUGAGGAACUGCACGGGAUACUGCAUGACUUGAGAUCGGGAGAGGGAAGCGGAAUUCCGGGUGUAGCGGUGAAAUGCGUAGAUAUCCGGAGGAACACCGGUGGCGAAGGCGGCUUCCUGGACCGACACUGACGCUGAGGCGCGAAAGCUAGGGGAGCAAACGGG